UCGAUGGCCCGAGGUAGAGCACUCAAUGGGCUAGGGUGGCCCCCAUUUCGCUUUACCAACCCCAGGGAAACUCCGAAUACAGGCCGUCAUCCUUAGUACAGACAGACUGAUUGGGUGCUAAGAUCCAAAGUCGAGAGGGAAACAGCCCAGAUCGUAGGCUAAGGUCCCUAAGCAAUCACUUAGUGGAAAAGGAAGUGAUCGAGCGAUGACAACCAGGAGGUGGGCUUGGAAGCAGCCAUCCUUUGAAGAAAGCGUAAUAGCUCACUGGUCUAGCUCCAUGGCACCGAAAAUGUCUCAGGGCUCAAGUGAUUCACCG
rnacentral:ncRNA from 1 species